rnacentral:rRNA from 1 species
AUUGAACGCUGGCGGCAUGCCUUACACAUGCAAGUCGAACGGUAACGCGGGGCAACCUGGCGACGAGUGGCGAACGGGUGAGUAAUAUAUCGGAACGUGCCCAGUAGUGGGGGAUAGCCCGGCGAAAGCCGGAUUAAUACCGCAUGAGACCUGAGGGUGAAAGCGGGGGAUCGCAAGACCUCGCGCUAUUGGAGCGGCCGAUAUCAGAUUAGGUAGUUGGUGGGGUAAAGGCCUACCAAGCCGACGAUCUGUAGCUGGUCUGAGAGGACGACCAGCCACACUGGAACUGAGACACGGUCCAGACUCCUACGGGAGGCAGCAGUGGGGAAUUUUGGACAAUGGGCGCAAGCCUGAUCCAGCAAUGCCGCGUGCAGGAUGAAGGCCUUCGGGUUGUAACUGCUUUGUACGGAACGAACGGUAGAGCUCUAAUAAAGCUUGCUAAUGACGGUACCGUAAGAAUAAGACACCGGCUAACUACGUGCCAGCAGCCGCGGUAA